rnacentral:rRNA from 1 species
UACGUAGGGUGCAAGCGUUGUCCGGAAUUAUUGGGCGUAAAGAGCUCGUAGGCGGUUUGUUGCGUCGGCUGUGAAAUCCCCGAGGCUCAACCUCGGGUCUGCAGUCGAUACGAGCAAACUAGAGUGUUGCAGGGGAGACUGGAAUUCCUGGUGUAGGCGGUGAAAUGACGCAGAUAUCAGGAGGAACACCGGUGGCGAAGGCGGGUCUCUGGGCAACAACUGACGCUGGAGGAGCGAAAGCCGUGGGGAGCGAACAGG